AACGAACGCUGGCGGCAGGCUUAGCACAUGCAAGUCGAGCGCCCCGCAAGGGGAGCGGCAGACGGGUGAGUAACGCGUGGGAAUCUACCCAUCCCUACGGAAUAGCUCCGGGAAACUGGAAUUAAUACCGUAUACGCCCUACGGGGGAAAGAUUUAUCGGGGAUGGAUGAGCCCGCGUUGGAUUAGCUAGUUGGUGGGGUAAAGGCCUACCAAGGCGACGAUCCAUAGCUGGUCUGAGAGGAUGAUCAGCCACAUUGGGACUGAGACACGGCCCAAACUCCUACGGGAGGCAGCAGUGGGGAAUAUUGGACAAUGGGGGCAACCCUGAUCCAGCCAUGCCGCGUGAGUGAUGAAGGCCUUAGGGUUGUAAAGCUCUUUCACCGGGGAAGAUAAUGACGGUACCCGGAGAAGAAGCCCCGGCUAACUUCGUGCCAGCAGCCGCGGUAA
rnacentral:rRNA from 1 species